rnacentral:rRNA from 1 species
AACGAACGCUGGCGGCAGGCUUCAUCCAUGCAAGUCGAACGCUCCCUUCGGGGAGAGUGGCAGACGGGUGCGUAACACGUGGGAAUGUACCCCUAGGUAUGGGAUAACCAUUGGAAACGAUGGCUAAUACCAUAUAGUCCGGAAACGGUAAAGAUUUAUCGCCUAGGGAUCGGCCCGCGCCUGAUUAGUUAGUUGGUGAGGUAAUGGCUCACCAAGACGAUGAUCGGUAGCUGGUCUGAGAGGAUGAUCAGCCACACUGGGACUGAGACACGGCCCAG